rnacentral:rRNA from 1 species
UACGUAGGGGGCGAGCGUUGUCUGGAUUUAUUGGGCGUAAAGAGCUCGUAGGCGGUUCGAUAAGUCGGACGUGAAAUCUCCACGCUCAACGUGGAGGGGCCGUUCGAUACUGUCGUGACUCGAGUCCGGUAGGGGAGUGUGGAAUUCCCGGUGUAGCGGUGAAAUGCGCAGAGAUCGGGAGGAACACCCGUAGCGAAGGCGGCACUCUGGGCCGGUACUGACGCUGAGGCGCGAAGGCGUGGGGAGCGAACGGG